rnacentral:rRNA from 1 species
UGGCGGCGUGCCUAACACAUGCAAGUCGAACGGAGGUUUAACUCUUCACUAAUGUUUACGGAUUAGCGGUAGAGUGAUUAGUGAAGAGAUAAACCUUAGUGGCGGACGGGUGAGUAAUGCAUGAGCAACUUGCCUUCAGAGGGGGAUAACACACCGAAAGGUGUGCUAAUACCGCAUGAUAUAUUUUUCCCGCAUGGGAGAGAUAUCAAAGGAGUAAGCCAACUUGUUGGCUUAUCCGCUGAAAGAUGGGCUCAUGUCUGAUUAGAUAGUUGGUGAGGUAAUGGCUCACCAAGUCGACGAUCAGUAGCCGGACUGAGAGGUUGAACGGCCACAUUGGGACUGAGACACGGCCCAGACUCCUACGGGAGGCAGCAGUGGGGAAUAUUGGUCAAUGGGGGGAAAAACCCCCUGAACCAGCAACGCCGCGUGAAGGAAGAAGGUCUUCGGAUUGUAAACUUUUGUCUUAUGGGACGAUAAUGACGGUACCAUAGGAGGAAGCCACGACUAACUACGUGCCAGCAGCUGC